rnacentral:miRNA from 12 species
GGGGAGCCACACUGAGUUCACU